rnacentral:rRNA from 1 species
GAUGAACGCUGGCGGCGUGCCUAAUACAUGCAAGUCGAGCGAACGGACGAGAAGCUUGCUUUUCUGAUGUUAGCGGCGGACGGGUGAGUAACACGUGGAUAACCUACCUAUAAGACUGGGAUAACUUCGGGAAACCGGAGCUAAUACCGGAUAAUAUUUUGAACCGCAUGGUUCAAAAGUGAAAGACGGUCUUGCUGUCACUUAUAGAUGGAUCCGCGCUGCAUUAGCUAGUUGGUAAGGUAACGGCUUACCAAGGCAACGAUGCAUAGCCGACCUCAGAGGGAGAUCGGCCACACUGGAACUGAGACACGUUCCAGACUCCUACGGGAGGCAGCAGUAGGGAAUCUUCCGCAAUGGGCGAAAGCCUGACGGAGCAACGCGGCGUGAGUGAUGAUGGUCUUCGGAUCGUAAAACGCUGUUAUUAGGGAAGAACAUAUGUGUAAGUAACUGUGCACAUCAUGACGGUACCUAAUCAGAAAGCCACGGCUAACUACGUG